GUCUGAGUUGAUUUUGCAUGUGAUGUCUGGGGAGUGAAGCUCUGGAAAACAAAAUAUCAAGGACAGUUUCCCAGGCUGAGAGGUGAAGGCUGCCUCCCUCCCUCCUAACAAGACCAGGCAGCCGCAGGGUGGGAAGGACUCCAGGAGCGAGUCUGUGCCUGUCUGGGGGAGGACACAGCCCAUGUCUGCUCACCACUUGUCCUGUGCCUCCUUAGGGAAGGCUCUGCCCAGCAGGGCCUGGGACAUCAUCACAUUCGGUGGGUCUUUGUUGGGUGGAUGGAUGGAUUGACAAACAGAUGGACAAAUGGACGGAUGGAUACGUAAACACCAACUGAUGACUGCAUGGCUAGGUGGAUGGAUGGACACCUAUAUGCAGGGAUAAAUAAAUGGAUAGCUGGAUGAAGAGACAGUGCGGAGACAGAUCCAGACAUAAGGAAGGCAAAGAAUCAUUUGCUACAAGAACCAAGACAGGGCCAGGGCUACAGACAGCGGGGCAGCCCACACACUCCUGGCUGACCCCAGCCCCAGCCCAUCUAUGAAGCAACAGCCACUUGAUGGGCUUCAAGUCACCCUCUCCCUCUGCUGCAUCAUGGCUCUUUCCUACCCCAGGAUCUUUGCACAAG
ensembl:lncRNA